rnacentral:lncRNA from 1 species
GGCAAGGAUACUUUUUGAACCUAGCAUAAGAAGUCCUGUAGCUUAAAGUAUUCAGAUGUUGCAAGAUCAGGUUAUAGAGCCAGGAUUUACAUCUUCUCUAGGCUCUCACAUGAAGCUGCUGUAUUCUGGGAUGCAUCACAGAGGGAGAGUGUUUCUCUGCACAACCACAGUGGCUUGAUCAGGUUCCAGUUCUGCUGCAGCAGUCAAGUAUUUAAGCUUCACCAUGGGACACGGAGACCUUCAUUUCUGAAUGCCUCCUUAGCUGUUAGAUCUCUUUUCUAGGAGAUGGGAAACCAAAUCAAAAACAGAAGGGAUUUGAAUUUGAUUCUCCUAUUUUCCAGAUGAGUGUUACAGCCAGCUGCUCCAUGCAUCCCCGACCUUCCAAGUCAGAAAGGACUGACCUUGUUUCAUUGAUCUACCUCCAAAAGAGGAUUAACGACUACAACCCAACAGAAAGGAAGUUCCCUCAGUAAAUCCUUCGUUCUUGUGCAACAAUGCCUUUUGGACUUCAU